UACGAAGGGGGCUAGCGUUGCUCGGAAUUACUGGGCGUAAAGGGCGCGUAGGCGGGUCGUCAAGUUGGGGGUGAAAGCCCAGGGCUCAACCCUGGAACUGCCUUCAAAACUGGCGACCUAGAGUAUGGUAGAGGUGUGUGGAACUCCGAGUGUAGAGGUGAAAUUCGUAGAUAUUCGGAAGAACACCAGUGGCGAAGGCGACACACUGGGCCAUUACUGACGCUGAGGCUCGAAAGCGUGGGGAGCAAACAGG
rnacentral:rRNA from 1 species